CCUACGGGAGGCAGCAGUGAGGAAUAUUGGUCAAUGGACGAGAGUCUGAACCAGCCAAGUAGCGUGAAGGAUGACUGCCCUAUGGGUUGUAAACUUCUUUUAUAUGGGAAUAAAAUGUUCCACGUGUGGGAUUUUGUAUGUACCAUAUGAAUAAGGAUCGGCUAACUCCGUUGCAGCAGCCGCGGUAAUACGGAGGAUCCGAGCGUUAUCCGGAUUUUUUGGGUUUAAAGGGAGCGUAGGUGGAUUGUUAAGUCAGUUGUGAAAGUUUGCGGCUCAACCGUAAAAUUGCAGUUGAAACUGGCAGUCUUGAGUACAGUAGAGGUGGGCGGAAUUCGUGGUGUAGCGGUGAAAUGCUUAGAUAUCACGAAGAACUCCGAUUGCGAAGGCAGCUCACUGGACUGCAACUGACACUGAGGCUCGAAAGUGUGGGUAUCAAACAGGAUUAGAUACCCGGGUAGUC
rnacentral:rRNA from 1 species